rnacentral:rRNA from 1 species
GUUGAACGCUGGCGGCAGGCUUAACACAUGCAAGUCGAACGAUGAGUCUCUAGCUUGCUAGAGAUGAUUAGUGGCGGACGGGUGAGUAACAUUUAGGAAUCUGCCUAGUAGUGGGGGAUAGCUCGGGGAAACUCGAAUUAAUACCGCAUACGACCUACGGGUGAAAGGGGGCGCAAGCUCUUGCUAUUAGAUGAGCCUAAAUCAGAUUAGCUAGUUGGUGGGGUAAAGGCCCACCAAGGCGACGAUCUGUAACUGGUCUGAGAGGAUGAUCAGUCACGCCGGAACUGAGACACGGUCCGGACUCCUACGGGAGGCAGCAGUGGGGAAUAUUGGACAAUGGGGGCAACCCUGAUCCAGCCAUGCCGCGUGUGUGAAGAAGGCCUUUUGGUUGUAAAGCACUUUAAGCAGGGAGGAGAGGCUAAUGGUUAAUACCCAUUAGAUUAGACGUUACCUGCAGAAUAAGCACCGGCUAACUCUGUGCCAGCAGCCGCCGUAAAAC